AUUAUUAGAGCAUUUCUACACAUUUGUCAUGACAAAAGACAAAUGAAGUAAUAGUUGUUACUAUCCAAAUGAAUAGUGUAUGCUAGGGAGGGGGGUCAGUCACAAUAUUUCCUCCCCUCUCCUUCACCAUCUUCUUUCCUCCCCUUCCUCACUCUUUUCCUCUUGCCUUCCUUUUGGUUUUUUGAUUGAGCUUGUGGUCAUUCUAACCCCUUCGAGGGUUUGGUUGUUCUCUCCGCUUUGUGUUGGCCCCUUGUUUUGCAGAUUUAUAUUGGUGUAGUUUGGGUUAAUUUUGCACAUAUGUGGGUUUCGUCUUUUUUUUUUCUUUUUUUUUUUGGUGUAGGUUCUUGUGUGGUUGUGGUUUUCCUCUCAACCUGGGCUUCGACGGUAGUGUUCUUGUUUUCGUGGUUGCUACGAUGGCGACUCUACUUUCUGUCAUUUUGGUUGGUUUUGCAGUUUUCUUGGGUUGUAAUAAUUACAUCAAUUCUUUGUGAGUUGGGUGUUUUAUUUGUAUUCAAGUCUCUACUUGUAUUUUUAUUUAAAAGGUGUAGUUAUGUUAGUAUUUUU
rnacentral:lncRNA from 1 species